GACAUGUCACAUUCAAAAUUGAGAUAUACUGCAGAUAACACAUUACAUGCAUGAGUGGCAAUCAUAUGGGUUCUGCUUUGAAUCACACGAUUCAGACAGUUGUGAACAUUGAUGAUCAUGAUUGUGUGGUAACUGUAUAUACUGAUUACGAACCAGGAAAAGAAACUAACGGUAGCUCACAGUUCUUUUAGAAAAACAUAAAGGUACUAACUGGCAGUUAUAUUUCCACCAUCACUCCUAGUUGUGACUUCCUACAAGAAAUGAGAACGAAAAUGAUAUUACAGCCUCAUGUCCCUUCCUUGUUUGGCCAUUAUAUUCGACAUGUUCCUUCCCUGAACAAAAGAGAUCAAUAGUGAGCAUUAAAGACCCCUGAAAACUCAAUAGGAUAUACGCCAUGGCAGUAUCUGCCCCGUUUUCAUAUUCAUUCAAUGCACAUUACCAAAAUCUAAUAGUAAUCAAACUUGAAUUAAAAUGGUACAUAAAGUUUUUGUAGUUAGAGAUAGGACCAAGUUGGAAUAGUAUAGAGAAAAUCAAACUUUAUCCUAGCAUUACACGGAAGAAACGUGACCCACUUAUCAUAUGAACAGAAACAGACCGAGAAAUUUAUUUACCAUCAGAUGUCGAUCUCUAUAUUUCCGCUUUGCAAAUGAUCCCAAUUUAAAGCUUGAUAUCCGUUGGAAUCUUCACAUUACACUGCAACCUACAAAGCUUGAAUAAGGCCACUAACGUUCAGAGCAUAGCUUAAAGAAUUGUGCAAUUAGCUCAUGAAAGCCCCCUGAUGUAACAUUUUUACCUGGUUGGUGAUGCAUGGUGGUCUACUAUGCGCAAUAAAAUACAACAAGUAAACCAGAUAAUGAUCAUAUUAAGUACUACAUCAUCAAUAGGCUGAUCAUGUUUGCACUGCCAAUUACUACAGACUUACACACGCUCCCUUCAAAUUUCAAGAACUGCUUAGCCAACAAUUCCAAGUUCAAGCAUGAAGUAGUCAAAAUGAAAUAACUCAAAAUAUUUUUAGAAUCACAACAUAGAAGGAUACUCUUGAGGACUAUGUGAACCUAGAAGACCAGGAAAAACAAUAUUUCAACUUCGCAAUGAUAUAAGGGCAUCUCCAUCACUGGGCGCUUAGCCCCGGCGCCAGGCUCGUAAUCCCAGCAGAUUAGCGGUUGCCGGCUAUAAUCCUGGCGUCAACCCUGGCGUCGACGCCAAAUCACGCACCCGGCGCUUGGCCAUUUUUCUUCCAUCACUUAGCAUCUACGUUGUUUAGUUAAUUAGCGUCUAGCGUUGAGGGAUGAGGCGCUUAGGUGUUCUUCAGAUUUUAUUAUUUUGUUCGUAAGCGCCUAUGUAAGCUCCUAGCAUUGUAGAUGCCCAAAGGGAAACAUAUUAAAUAAUAGCAGUUGUGAAUGGGCAUAUAAGUAUAUAUCACCACCUUUAGUCCACGACAACAUGUAAAUUAUCUACUUAAUAGUAAACGGUGUAUCUAGAGAUAAUGCUAACCAAUUCUGCAUACAAAACGCUUUCGAGAUGGAAAAUUAUAAUUUACUCCUAACGUUCCUUGUAGAUUGUGGUUGCUCAAAGUCAAAUAGCUGCAAUACAUGAAAACUUUUAUAUCAAUUAAAACUACUUCAGUAGUACAUACGCACAUGAUCAAGGAUAAAAUGAAUACUACUACACACAAAUGGUUAAGUAGACAAAACACCAUAUGUUCAAUCACACAAGCGGCAAGCAUGAGCCAAAAUAGAACAAAACUCUGUGCCAAAUCCUGAAUAUAAACACAAUCGAAACUAAUAUCCAUGACAACACAUAGGAAAGAAAAGAAUGCAGUAGAUAAAUAGAAAAGGAAGUGAACAAAACCACUGGCAGAACAAGCAAGCAACAACAUGCAGAGAUCUUACAGCCUGCGACAUAAAAGGGGAGGAACUCAUCAGGCAGAAGCAUUAAUCCAAAAGAACCUCAUCUCCACUGACCAUGCAGACCCAGCCACUCAUGCUCUCCACGACGACGAGGUGCGCCCGAUCCGGAAUCACGGAAAAUCACACUGCAAACUAAAUACUGGAGCAUCAGAUUAGCAGCUAUAUAUUCCAAGCAUGCAUUUUUAACUGUAAAAGAGCUAAUAAAGUGUUUACUUCAAGAAAAUACAGCAGGCCAAACAAAAAAUGUCUUUCUAAAGGUGAACAAAAAAUGAAAUAUCAAUCCUAAUAAUUAGGGUGUGCAGGACCAAAUAAUUAAUAUGCCACUUUGGAAAGAAAACUUCAAAAUGUACCAACGAUUGUGUUCACAGUGUACAAUUGGUCGGCCUGUCAUAUUCUUCUCAUCAUCAGUUUAUUACACGAAAAAGGACUGCCAUAGCCUCACAUAUGUGCUCGGGAUGCUGCAACAAGCAACAAACUACCAACAGAAGACAAAUUUGCAUAUGUACCUAUUGAGAAACAACAUAUAAAUUUAUUGGAUGAUAAUUUGAAUGUUGUACAAAAUUCAAGAGAAACUUUCCACUACCAUAUAGUGCUCGCCGCAUUACUUCAUUGCACAUAUACUCUGUAAUUGAACUAUUGACUGUAGGAAAAAUAUGUAGUGCACACAUUUACCAACAUAUAUGUGGGAAAGACACGUGCCUAAAAGAGGGCACAUUCAAAAGUGGCAACUUGUACGACAUAAUAAGCAGUAAACACAUAAACAAAGCACGCAUUUAAGCACACUUAUUCACACCUUGCCUGAUUCAGUGCUAUACCGGUUGUCAUGAAAGCAUUCAAACUGACACGAUGACCCUAUGCACUGCAUCUAUCAUUAAGUAGAGGAGAAGAUCAUAAAGAAACAAAAUAAAGGCAUUCAC
rnacentral:lncRNA from 1 species